CCAGUUGAUCCAGAAUGCUGCAGCUCGUGUUCUCACUAAAACUAAGAAAAGAGAUCACAUCACUCCUGCACUAGCUGCUCUGCACUGGCUACCCAUAAAAUCAAGAAUCACUUUUAAAAUUCUUCUCUUAACGUACAAAGCCUUGAUUGGUGAUGCACCAUCAUAUCUUAAGGAGCUUGUAGUACCAUAUUGCCCCACUAGAGAGCUACGCUCACUAAAUGCGGGACUAGUAGUUCCUAGAGUCUUAAAAAGUAGAAUGGGAGCCAGAGCCUUUAGUUAUCAAGCUCCUCUUUUAUGGAACCAGCUUCCAAUUUCAGUCCGGGAGGCAGACACAGUCACCUCGUUUAAGAGUCGACUUAAGACCUUCCUCUUUGACAGAGCUUAUAGUUAGGGCUGAAUCAGGUUCACCUGGUCCAGCCCCUUGAUAUGCUGCUAUAGGCUUAUAGCUGCCGGGGGACGUUUAGGAUGCACUGAGUACCUAUCUCCUCUUUUUUCUCUCCUUAAGGAUGAAUUUUUCAUCUCUCAAUCACACGUUACUAACUCUGCUUUCUCCCCGGAGUCCUUUUGACUUCACGUCUCAUGGGGUCAUCGGACCCUAUGAGACGGCAUAGAUCCUAUCUGCUGAUGGAUCAUCGAGAUCUGGGUCGUGGAAUUCCUGCUCAUGACUACGCCACUGUCCUGUUGAGACUCCGCCCACUGUUGAGACUCCGCCCACUCCUCCUCCCCACCGCCAUCUGCCUGAUGGAUCGUGGAGGUCUCCAUCGUGGAAUAUGCCUACUAUGAACUAUUCAUACACUCUGUCACAUUCAUUGAAUGUAUUUUAACUCUAAAUCUGUCCUUCUGGUCACAUGACAUCUAUUGUUCUGUCCAUCCUGGAGAGGGAUCCUCCUCUGUUGCUCUCCUGCAGGUUUCUUCCCUUUUUUUCCCCCUGAAGGAUUAUUUGGGAGUUUUUCCUGGUCCGAUGUGAGGUUUUGGGGCAGGGAUGUCUAUGUGUACAGAUUGUAAAGCACUCCGAGACAAAUUUGUAAUUUGUGAAAUUGGGCUAUACAAAUAAACUGAAUUGAAUUGAAUUGAAUUGGAGAGAUGUCAUGUGACACAAGAGAGGUCAUGUGACACUUUCCUCUGGAGAGAUGUCAUGUGACUUCAGGUUUCCUCUGGAGAGAUGUCAUGUGACACCGAGAGAGGUCAUGUGACACUUUCCUCUGGAGAGAUGUCAUGUGACUUCAGGUUUCCUCUAGAAAGAGGUCAUGUGACUUCAGGUUUCCUCUUGAGAGAGGUCAUGUGACUUCAGGUUUCCUCUGGAGAGAUGUCAUGUGACACCGAGAGAGGUCAUGUGACACUUUCCUCUGGAGAGAGGUCAUGUGCGCCGAAAACAACGCCAUGUCGCGUUCAGGGGAGUCGGGACGUUUUCUCACAGGAUAAAUUACAGGAACUGACGUGUCGUUAAUAAUUCAUCCCCCGCGAGGAAAGGAGAUCAAUAAUGUAUCAAGGCAACAAAGUAUCAAAGUAUCAAUACAACAAUGUAUCAAUGUAUCAGUGUAAUAAAGUAUCAACGUAUCAAUACAUCGGUGUAUCAGUGUUAUAACAGAUCAGUGAGGUGGAUCUAUUGAGUGUUGUUCAUCUUUCUAUCGGUUAUCAUGACAUUUAUUGAUCUGGAAUCUACGACAAGGCAGACGGCAACAACAACAACAACAACAACAACAACAACA